GUUGAAGAACGCAGCGAAAUGCGAUAAGUAGUGUGAAUUGCAGGCUUUAGUGAAUCAUCGAAUCUUUGAACGCACAUUGCGCCCUUUGGUAUUCCACUGGGCAUGCCUGUUCGAGCGUCAUCUACACCCUCAAGCUGUGCUUGGUGUUGGGCGUCUGUCCUCGUUCCCCGCGGACUCGCCUCAAAUGCAUUGGCGGCGGCUUUGCCGGCUUCUUGCGCAGCACUUUUGCGCGUGGAAGCGACCGGCGGGCCCGCACCCAUCAAGAACCUCUCCAUUUGACCUCGAAUCAGGUAGGGAUACCCGCUGAACUUAAGCAUAUCAAUAAGCGGAGGA
rnacentral:misc_RNA from 1 species